GAUGAACGCUGGCGGCGUGCCUAAUACAUGCAAGUCGAGCGAACAGACGAGGAGCUUGCUCCUCUGACGUUAGCGGCGGACGGGUGAGUAACACGUGGAUAACCUACCUAUAAGACUGGGAUAACUUCGGGAAACCGGAGCUAAUACCGGAUAAUAUAUUGAACCGCAUGGUUCAAUAGUGAAAGACGGUUUUGCUGUCACUUAUAGAUGGAUCCGCGCCGCAUUAGCUAGUUGGUAAGGUAACGGCUUACCAAGGAACGAUGCGUAGCCGACCUGAGAGGGUGAUCGGCCACACUGGAACUGAGACACGGUCCAGACUCCUACGGGAGGCAGCAGUAGGGAAUCUUCCGCAAUGGGCGAAAGCCUGACGGAGCAACGCCGCGUGAGUGAUGAAGGUCUUCGGAUCGUAAAACUCUGUUAUUAGGGAAGAACAAAUGUGUAAGUAACUAUGCACGUCUUGACGGUACCUAAUCAGAAAGCCACGGCUAACUACGUG
rnacentral:rRNA from 1 species